rnacentral:tRNA from 1 species
GCCUGAGUGGCUCGGUGGUUGAGCAUCUGCCUUAGGCUCAGAUCAUGAUCCCAGGAUCCUGGGAUCAAGUCCCACAUCGGGCU